GACGAACCGUGCAACCGUUAUUCGGAAUCACUGGGCAUAAAGGGCGCGUAGGCGGCUCGAAAAGUCAGGGGUGAAAUCCGGCAGCUUAACUGUCGCAGUGCCUUUGAUACUGUCGAGCUCGAGGGAGGUAGGGGUCUGUGGAACUUCCGGUGGAGCGGUGAAAUGCGUUGAUAUCGGAAGGAACGCCGGUGGCGAAAGCGACGGACUGGAUCUCUUCUGACGCUGAGGCGCGAAAGCCAGGGGAGCAAACGGG
rnacentral:rRNA from 1 species